UACGAGAGGCCCAAACGUUAUUCGGAAUUACUGGGCUUAAAGAGUUCGUAGGCGGCGCAGAAAGUAGGGUGUGAAAGCCCUCGGCUCAACCGAGGAAUUGCGCUCUAAACUACUGUGCUUGAGGAAGCUAGAGGUGAGCGGAACUGAUGGUGGAGCGGUGAAAUGCGUUGAUAUCAUCAGGAACACCGGAGGCGAAGGCGGCUCUCUGGACCACUACUGACGCUGAGGCGCGAAAGCUAGGGGAGCAAACAGG
rnacentral:rRNA from 1 species